CCGGCCUGCACACACUGUCUUCGAUCCCCAUGUUGGGGAUCGUCCUGGAGCACUGAUUGGAAUCUACAAGGAGCCGGCAAACAAUCAGAGCUGGAACGCCCAUUCAAAUGGGGUUUUGCAUCCUUUCUCUUGAUUGGGUGGCGAACCCCCUCUCCCCCGUGAGUGCUGAUAGGUGCGAAUUGAUUUUGCGCCUCUCAGUGGAUUGGUGCAAUCGGGUUUCACG